GGAUCUCUUCUUGGAGAUUGCUCCUUGUGGAGUUUUUGCAAGCCUACAACACCGGGGUUUGGGUCAUGUGUCACCUCUCAGCUGUUGCCCUCCUCCUGACAGAACCGCAGGAGAGAAACUUGGAACUGGGGACCAGAUCUCUGUCAACCAAGACACAUGAACAGCUAUCAGCUCUCUCACAUGCUUCCCAUGCAGGGCCCCACGUGCUAUCUCUGCUCCCACCUGUCCCAUCCUCCUGUCCUCAACCUAAUCUCCUGCCACAUUCAUCCCGUGGUCUCCAUGCUGCCUGCCCAGCCCAGCACUGGCUGCAUGCCCAUGGUUGUAGGGCCAGGAGCUGUCAGCAGCUUCUGCCUGUGGCUGCCUCAUGAGCCCAGCAGCUGUGAGACACACAGGGCCCUCAAGCAGAGGGAGAAGGCUUUCUUCCACAGUUUUGGAGAACCACAGAACAGUUUGAGUUGGAGGGGACCUCAAAGCCCACCCAGCUCCAACCCCUGCUAUGGGCAGGGCUGCCACCCCCCGGUUCAGCUGCCCAGGGCCCAUCCAGCCUGGCCCUGAGCACCUCCAGGGAUGGGGCACCCACAGCUUCUCUUGGCAGUUGCGCCAGCGCCUCAUUGCCCUCUGUGUAAAGAGUUUCUGCCUAACAUCUAACCUAAAUCUCUUUUGUAGUUAGAGAAGCAGGCACACACUCAUUGCCCAAGAGUGCCUCCGAGGAGCCAUGAGUGUUCCCCUCUGUGCAUCACAAGCAUCUCAGGGGACAUUUGUCCAGGUCUUAUUUCUAUUCAGCGAUUUUCAGUGGUGGCUUUGGCUGGUGGAAUAGGAGACACACUCAAAGAGAGAAUGGGGACCUACAGGAAAAGGCUAAUCGUAUGUCAGAACAGAUUGAGAGGAGACACAAACUUCUCUUUAUGUCAUAGGCUACUAAAUGUUGUCUUGGUGCACUGACACGGGAGCUGGGGUGUGCCCCACACUACAGAGAGGUACCAAUGGGACCCAGCUGUCUGCCGAGCAGCUGGAGGAGUUCAGUUUCUUCCUGCCUUUCCCUUUGCCCCUGAGAAACUGCGUGCUGACCUCACUCAUUCCCCAGGCACAUCUGAAGCAGAAGUUACGUUCUCCUUUUUCUGGGUAGAGUGCAAGCUCUGAGGGGACCCCCUGCCCUGCAGGUUUAUUCAUGGUCAGAAGCAGAAACACAGAAGGUAAGGUCAGGGUUGUCCCAGAGCUGGCCAGCUUCUUCUGCUGAGGAUGUGUCAGCCCCCCCGGCAGGAGGAUGGGCUGGAUCAGGAGAUGCCGUGAGUGGAAACCCCAUGGAUUGGGCUGGGAUGAGAAAUCUUGAUGGGGCGGCUUUGGGUGAGCAAUUGCUUAUCAGAAAACCCGAGGCUGGAGGAGGACACGGCGCAGCCAGCCAGUAACUGGGGCUGGACUUGGGCUCCCAGACAGAAAAAACAAACCAGCGCAUUUUCCAUGUUUACAUUAGAUGUUUAUUUUACAGUUCGUUUCACAAUCCGUUUCUCUGUUCGCUUUGCAGCGAAUUGAUUUAUGGUGCUGCAGAUCCUAUCUGGCUGCUCUGCCCAGAGCACGUGCUUGGAAAAAGGACCUGGACAAGGAGCCUCACUGUCGUCGUUGCUGUUUUGUCUACAACUUUCCUUACUCACCCCUUAAGUUAGAGCAGUUUCUUCCAAACCGCGAUAAAUUGGUUUCUUACUCCCUUGUGCUCACAUCAGUAUUUUGAGUGGUUGUGUCCCAAAUCUCGGGAGGAAAACAGAGCAAACAACAGGAUCAGAGGCCGUGGGCACGGGCUGAAGCACAGGAAGCUCUCUCUGAGCACCAGGCAGCACUGCUGUGCUGUGCGGGUGACAGAGUGCUGGCACAGGCUGCCCAGAGGCUGUGAGGUCUCCUCCUCAGAGAUCUUUGAAACCACCUGGAUGUGGGCCUGUGCACCUGCAGUGGGUGUCCCUGCUGGGGCCUGUGCCAACCUCAGCCACCCUGUGAUGAUUCUGUGAUUCCCUCAGGUCUGGUCUCAGUGGAGGCAGUGCGACUUCACCAUUAUGCACAUACACUGCCUUCCCUUCAUCACUGGAGCUAUAAGAGAGAUGUGUCAUGUUUGAUUGGGAAAAUAUCGAUGUCGGUGGGAAAUCCCUGAGCAAAACUUCGUCACACGCUUUAAAGGAGGAGAAAGAUUCACUAUUUCCUCGUACAGGGCAGAGUGCUCCCCGUGAAUAACUGGACCCAACCUAAAAGCAGAAGGAAGUGUCUUUUUAAAGAACAGAGGUGUGGUGAUGACACUGUCGUGCUUCAUAGGCCUUGUGUAACCGGUGACGUGUGCGGCUUCUGAAGAGCCGGUUCCCCAGUCAGGCUGAGGUCACUCCCCAAGAAGAACAAUAAAAGACCAAUAAGUUGGCUGGCUGCAGGGAUCUGCCCCUUUCCCCCAGUAAAAAGAUAUUCGCUGGAUACAAACAUGGGUUUCUGUGGACUGGCAUGACUGCUGUGGUGGUUUGCGUAAAUCCAAGCUGGAAGUUUUGAAAGGGGAGAAUGCCAACCCAACAGACUGAGUCUACGGCCGCUAAGCGCCCUGAAGCCGCAAGGAACAGGCAGUUCCAUGCUGAGGGCACGUGGUUACCUACAGUCGUAUCUAUGUAAAUGUCUCCACACUGACUUGUUCAGCAAUUUACAACUUUCAAAUUACGGUUGUUUAAAGGGUGUGAAAAGGCUUUAUGUCAAGAAAUUGCUUUCAUGUUCAACUGGAUGCAAGCUAGAGUCUACAAUAGGGGAACUGGUUCUCCAGUAAAGGUUGUUCAGCACACUGGCCCAAACCUGGCCUGCUCUUGCACUCAUGGCAGAGCUCUUCAGGGCAAUAUGAAAAUACAUCUUUCCUGCUUUCCUACAAGAAGCGUAUGUACGUUUAUUUAACUGAGGGAUGAUCCUAAUCUGCAGUAAUUCUGCAGGCAUUGGUGAAUGACGUUGGAAAUAGGGAAGUGAAAUGGCCAGGUAAGCAUUAACUGCUCUGCUUUUGUGCACAUGGAGAUUAAAUAUUUAAAGGGAAGAUCUGCGAAGUUUCAGCAUUGCAUGUGUAGGUAAUGCCUCUGAGCAGUACAUUAAAGAAUAGUAAUGCAUAUAUACAUACUCUGAGCAUAAAGAUGGACUCCAGAUUAGCUAAAAUUGUAUCUGAUAAGCCCCAGUAAAACCUUAAUAGUUUCUAUCAAUGCCAUGAAGCUGGGGUUGGGUUUUGGGGUUUCUUUUUCUCUAACAGAAAUUGUGCAUUUUAGGAAAAGCAUCCAGGAUAAUAUGGCUUGAGAGUGGCCUGGAGAGAUUUCUAAAAAUGUCUAAGCAAGUCAAAGGCAGAAAUGGGAAUCUGUGCAGUGGCAGCACUGUGAGGGUGUGGGCUGUUCCUGUGGGAUGAUCAAGAGGUGCAUUUCACAAGAGAGAAACCUUCUCUCUGGAUAAUUUUUCAUAGCUAGCAAGGAUGCCUUGCACAGUUUCUGUCUUGCAACAGAAGCUAUACGCAGAGAUUUCAUCUCCCCGCCUGACCUCUCGGCCUUGCAAUGCGGUGCCACCAAAGCCCAGCCCCUGGGGACUGCUGCAGGAACCUCCCUGCCUGCCCUGCAUCUCCAGCAGCCACUGGGAAGGGCACUGAAUGAUGGGGCUGCUGAGGUGGGAUGAGGACUGGGGUGCUGGAGGAAUGACAGUGGGACUUGCCUGGGCUGGAGGCUCCUGGGUGUGGAUGCCCUCUCUGCAGACAAGCUUCAUUGUCCGUUCCUUGUCACGUCCCUGAUGUGGCCUUGAUAAAGCAACACCUGAACAAACCCCACAAGGGUUGUGAUAAGCAGAACAGAAGCAGAAGAGCCUCCGGUUUCCACCAGUGCCCUGAAAACUGCUUGCAACCUCUCUCACCCAGUGUGAAGUCUGCCUGAGAGGCAUUUGCACAACACAGCCUUCUUCCCCUGAGCAAGCCUGCCUUCAUGUAGAGCAAUGCACAUGCCUGCCCUACCAUCUGCCUAGCUCCUAAACCCAAAAUCCCAAGGGGGAGGAUUUCAUCAGUGUUCUGCAAUACUCUUCAUCCAUUUGUUUUUGCCGACGCUGUUUCUCUGUCCUUUGGCCAUGACCAGGAGCAGCCAGUGAAGGACAGCCUGGUCCCAUUUCUGCUCCUCAGAGGAGCGGGGGCAAAGGAAGAUGCAAACAGUUUUGAAAACACUUGUUUACAUUGUUUUGUAACUUCUUGGGAAUCCUAGAGCAAGUACAGCAACCCGUGAACUCAAAACAACCCCAUGAAAGCCGUUAGUAGAGGGAUUGCCGAUACGUGCAAUGAGGACUGAAAGAUGGCAUGUGUAGCUGUGCUAACAACUGAUGGGGAUGUAUCUGCUGGAGCCAGGGAUCCUUUGUUCAGAAGUCAGAUGGAUGUCCAUCUCCCAGCUCCUCAGCAGUCUGAAUCCCAAAGCUUUCCCUUCUUGCAGCAGGCACCAUGGGAGUGUCUCUCCAGGCUUUUUUUCCUACAGAAGUCCUGCAGCUGCCAAGGAAUGCUUUACCAGUGUUUUAUUCUAUCAUAUCUCCCAACAAUGCAGUAUAGGAUUAAGGCAAAUCUACACCAUCAAUCUACUUCCCAGAGCAGUGUGUAGUUAGCAGCAUAGUGUGUCAUACAUACACGGGUAGAUCUUCCCUUGUGAGCACAGGAGCAAAAGCUGGGUUAAAAGAUGUCGUUAUGUUAAAGGAACCUACUUGAACUCGCUUGCCUUUAGUUUAUAUGAGAAACAUGGGUAAAUUGCUUCUGAUAAAGAACUAAGUGCGUGAAUGAUGUUCACAGGUAGGAAAAGUGCCAUUUUCUAUCUCGGUUCUUGCCAUGCAGCCUUUUGGGCUUCAGGUGUUUUUUUUAUGACCCCCAUAGGAUUGUACUCAAGGCUUCUCCUAAAUAAUAGCAUCAAUUGUAGGAAAGUGCAUGAGGAUUCCACAUUCCUGCCAACCCAGGAACAGGAAUGCCAAGUGUGCUUUCAUUUCAGACGAUUUGAUUAACCUUUUAUUAAGUCUAUGAAAAGCUAUUGAACCAACUCAGACUCCUUGAGUUUCAAAGACCCUAUCUUUUUUUUCUAUGUGCAGGAAGCCUGCAAUUCUGGGCAGCUUCCAAGGCUCACUGCUCUCAUGAACAUCCAGGUCUUGCCGGGGUGCAGAUUGCAGAGCUGAGUUGCCCUUUGACGGGAACAAAAGCCAUUUCAACUGGUGCCACUCAAGCCAGGGGAUAAAGAAACUGAUCCCAAAGCCAAUGUGUGGACAAGCUGGGGCAAGGACCCCGGGUCUGGGUUGUGUGUCCUGGAAGGCCAAGAUCUGGGCCUUUGAGCAGGUGUACUCAUCAUUCAGUCUGCAGCUGCCUGCCCCUCUGCCAUGGGGAACAAUCACCCAGGGAAGCAUGUCCUCUGCUUGUAUCCCUGACCCCUUCUGCUCCAGUGAAGCAUGAAGCUUUUGGGCAGUGCUUGGUGCUGGAGCGUCUGUAAGGCCAUUUUCUGCUCUCAUUCAUUCUCCUGCAGUCUAGUGAAAGAGCACAUAUGAAAGUCCUCUCUUCCCUAUCCAUGCAAGGGUAACAUUUUCAUGAAAACUCACAGGAAUUUGACUAUUGCAGAGAUUCUCAUUUCCUGUCAUGCUUGACUGAAACCAGCCAGCAGUUUCAAGAGCUUCUGUAUGGGCAGUACCUGACCUUGCACAAUUUGCUUCCAUAGAAAACCAAGGUUAAGCAAACCCCGAGUUGUCCUGAGUGCCUUUGCAGAAGAUGACAUUUCUUCACUUGUCCCUUUUUCCUGGAGCUCCUUAGAAGUGGCUGAGCUCUUAUAUAGCCUUUUCUUUCUGGUCUUCCCAAAAGUACUUAUCUGAAGUAUCUGAAUAUGCUUGCAAGCUGCUGUUUUUCUUCAGAAGGCUGUGGUAGCAUCAGUGCCUGGCAACACAGGGACCAUUUCCUCCAAAGAAAAAGCAAAAAGUUCUUCCAAGAAGGCCUGAAAUAUGUACAGCUUGAAAUCUCCUUCAGGAAUGUAAUUUAUGGUGCUUGUUUGGACAGGAGGGGAAUAUCAGAUAUGCAUUUUUAUCUACUCAACCUGCACAUCUCUUUCUACAAUCCUUCACCUAGAAUUAUAUUUUAGUAUCACAACUGAAAAUGUGCAUUUAAUCUCUGUGGUGUCUAUAAGACUCUUCAGGCUCCUCUGAGGUCCUCUGAAGCUGUGAAGUGUUUCACAAUAUAUCAAGAGGUAAUUUGCAUUGACAAUCAAUAUGCUAAUUGUUGUGUCAACACUGUUUUGCUGUGUUUCUUGGCUCCUUGUCCUGAGGCACACAGCUAUGAGUAGCCUCGGCUCGUCUGUGAUGUGCAAGAUGUGCCGUGGCCAUGCGAUACUCACAGAGCUUGUUGGAAGAGGUGCAACCUGAAGAUGAGGGAGGCCUGUCCAGUUUGUGCUGUCUUAUUCAGUCCAGCUUCAUUUGGUCUGGAAACGUCUAUUUAAUCAGAUGAAGAAAUUAGAGAGCUUUUGUCUCGGUUGUAAAUAAAAUAAAUAUUGAUUAAAAUGAAACAAUUGUCAAACAGACGAGUCAAAAUAACAGCCAUACCAAUGCUUAUGGUUUAUGUAAUGUUAAAUGUUGUUGGAAUACAAGUGUCAAAUAUGAGCCCAAAGAUGUUCUAACUCCUUCAUUUUAUUUAUCUCUAACACGGUUGUGCCCUGAGUCAUGGACCAAAAAUAGCUGUGCCAGGCACUGUGCUACCUCAGAACAAAAAGAUGGAUUUUUUUGGCUUCAUCUGCAGGCUCACAGCUCUUUAGGACACUAAAGAUAUGCUUGGGAGGGGCAUGAGUAAUGGGCAGUGGCAUGGCUUAGAACAUCAUGGCUCCCAGCUUUAAGAAACACAAACACAGGAAACACUCAACAUGGAACUGCAGAGCAGUUGUCCACAGAGUUCCCACCAUAGAAUACUCUGUGACAGGGAGAGGCUAAAAGCCAUCCAGGAUUUCAGCCAAAAUGGCCCUGGGAGCCUGGAGAAAGUAACCAGAUGACGCUAGUUGUCUCUGAUAGACUUGUUAGCUCUUAAUUCCUCUGUGGUAGCUAAUAACUAAGCUGCAUAGGAAGGGAUAUAAUGCUAACUUGGAUUAUGCUUCCAGACUUGCUUCAGGGGCUAUGGAUACGUGCGAGGCAUGGGGAGGAAGUCUCAAGUGGAAGAGUGCUAUGGAUUGGGAUAAGUAGUUGUAUGGGAUGAAUGUGCCUCUUUACUUACCCUUGGUGUCACUUUCCAGGGAUUUCCAAGACAAAGAAGAAUGAGUUACAGAUAAAGUUGCAUCCUAUUGAUACACUCAUCAUCUGGGAAGAAGCCUGCUGGAUCACUGCUUCCCCAUCUCUCUGUAGCCUGCUGUCAACCCAGUAGUACACAACCCUACUGAACUCAAAGCUGCAAGAUUCUCAGCCAAGGAAGAGUGCUUCACCGUGCUGUGGGUGUGCUUGACAAGUUCCACUAACAAUGGGAUGCUUUCACUCAUUUACCUGCAGUGACUGACCUUGGCAUGUGAGCAGCACUGGCAGCAGGACCCCUCCAGAGGCUGCUCUCCCAGGUGAGCACGGAGGAUCACAAAGCAGAAACUCCUUCAGGCCCCAUAGAUAUCAACGGGUCUGCUCGGCUCUGCCAGGUGUAGUCGUGCAUUUCAAGUUUCUUCCUGACUCUGGGUUUUAAUUCUUGUGAGUUUCACUGGAACAAAGAUAUCAGGCUAUUUAUGCACUGGCCUUCUUUGUGUGUAUGCAGCUACCAAUGUCUUUGAUGCUCCAUUUCCCAGUAGCUUUUUUCCCUCUGGGUCUCAGGUCCCAGCUAGUGUCCCCUAUUGUAAUCUUUGGCAUUGCCCUACCACUGCUCCAGCAACCUCCAUUAGUGCCUCCCUGACCUAGCGUACAGCUCAGGUUGGCUGCCUGGGAAGGCCAUGCAACUUAAUUUAGAGCUCAUCAGAAGAGUCGAUGAGCCAUGGCCUUCCUAUUUUGCAAAGAGACAUACCUAUGGCCCAGACGCUGCUGCAAUGGGCACACUGGAAACACAGGAAGAUAAAGUAGUUGGCAGACAAGCCCUGGUCCCGUCUGUUUGUUUUUGUCUUUCAUCCAGACAUGCAGUCAAGCAAAAUCAGCAUGACUUGAUCCGACCAGAAGGCAACACCGACACUUGGUAGACCCACAGUAUUUCACAAUGUUGUUGUUUUACUCCAGCCGCCAAAUGUAAAACAAGACACAAGCACCUGGGUCUGCUAAAGCUCAUCUGCUGAGGCCUGGGUUUGGCACUACAAGCUCUCACACUUUUUUUUGCUGCCAUCCUAUAGCAUCCCAUAGGCCACACGGUAUCGUGCACAGGCUGACUCCACAGCUCCUUCAGGUCUCAGGUGUUUUCAAGGUGCAUCUGCAGCUCUUUUGGGCUGAAACUACUACAUGGUCCUCUGACACAUGGUUUGAUAUCAAAAUUGCAGAACAGGGAUUGAUUCAGGAGAAGAAAAGCCAGCAGCCCUAAAUGACAGGAAGCCAGGAUGCUGGAACCUGCUUGGAAGGGACGGGGAUGUUUGUCUCCAGCCCAUUCUCCUGACACCCAGUCCUUGUGCACAACCACAGCAGCCAUGGGCUGCCCAGCCUAAAAGCUUCUGGCACUAUUUCAUUGAGAAGCUUUUGCACUUCUUAAAUUCAGCAGGAACAAAGCCGGGGAGUCAGAAGUGCGCUUUGAUUCUGCUCCUUUCAAUGGUCUUGGCUGAAAUAAAAACCCUUUUGG